rnacentral:lncRNA from 1 species
AUGGGUCUUCCGCGGCGGGGCCCUCCUCGGGCGAGGCGACCCAGAGCAACAAGGCCGAGGUGGGCAGGGUGCUGCGCAGGAUGUGCGCGACGUCCUGGUCCCAGAUGCGCCGCCACGUCCUGCCUGGCGCUACCACCCUGGGCAGUGGCCGCACCUAGCCAUCGCUCCCGCGGCACUGGGGUCCUGCGCUGGGGGGGCUCCUGGGGCCCCACCAUUGGGCCUGCGGACCAAGCUGAGGUGGGGCAGGUAGGAGCAGCGCUUGACCACCUCCGGCCGCACGGGGGCGCGCACGGGCAGGCGCGAAGGGCUUUUGGAGCUGGUGCGCCAGGGCGCGCGCGGGCGUGGGCCGGGGCCGGGACCGGACCCUGGCCGGGUCGCCUGCUGCCCGGGGGCCGCCCUCAGCUCGCCGCAGCGCGAAGAGCAGAGGAAGACGGCGGGGAGCGCGGGCCGGCCGCGGCGGGGCGACGCGUCCUGGGAGGUGGAGGCGGAGUCGGACAGCAGCUCCGUGCGCCAGCGACGCAGCAAGCCGGGCGACUCCUUGAUGACGAAAACAGAGCAAGACCUUCCAGAAACAUCUGUGCUGAGAGGUCAGCAUCCUGGAGGAGACCCUGCUGCCCACAUAUUUAGAAUCUCGGGGGAAUCAGGUCCCAGUGUAGAAGGAAGGAGGAACUGAGGAAGGAGGACACAGGGCUGCCUCCACACAGCUGCCCAGGGAUGGCUCCAGGGCCACGAAGUCGCUGCAAGCAGGUAAGGGGCCAGGUGUGGGGGGGUCCCGGGUGCCAGGGAGGGGGCUGGGCUUUGGGCUCCUGGGUGCCAUGAGGGGGCUGGGCGGUGGGGGUCCUGGUGCCAGGGUUGGAGCCGGGCAUCAGGGGUCAUGGGUGCCAGGGAGGGGGCAGAACGAUGGAGGUCCCAGGUGUCAAGGAUGGGGCCAGGAGGGAGCUGGGCGCUGGGGGUCCCAGGUACCAGGGAGGGGGCUGGGUGCAGGGGGUCCAGGGUGCCAGGGAGGGGGCCAGGCAUCAAGGGUCCUGGGUGCCAGGGAGGGGGCCAGAUGUUGGGGUACUGGGUGCCAGGGAAGGGGCUGGGCAUCUGAGGUCCCAAGUGACAGGGAGGGGCGGGCCUUGGGGGUCCCAGGUGCCAAGGAUGGGGCCAGGCUUCGGGGAUCCUGGUGCCCAAAAGGGAGCCGGGCGAUGGGGGUCCCAGGUACCAGAGAAGAGGCUGGGCGUCUGGGGUCCGGGGUGCCAGGGAGGGGGCCAGUUGUCAGGGGUCCCGGGUGCCAAGGAGGAGGCCAGAUGUUGGGGUCCCAGGUGCCAGGGAAGGGGUCAGGUGUCAGGGGUCCUGGGUAGCAGGGAGGGGGCAUGGAGUCAGAGGUCUUGAAUGACAGGAAGGGGCCAGGCAUCAGGGGUCAUGGGUGCCAGGGAGGGGGUCGAGGGUCUUGGGUGCCAGGGAGGGGUCACGCAUUGUGGACCGGUUGACAGGGAGGGUCCAGGUGUCAGGCGUCCCAGGUGCCAGGAAAGAGGCUGGGCUUUGGGGUCCCAGGUGUCAGGGAAGGGGCCUGGGGUCACGAGUCCCGGGUGCCAGUAACAGGGCCAGGCAUCUGGGGUCCCGAGUGACAGGGAGGGGCCGGGCG